GUAGGUGGCAAGCGUUGUCCGGAAUUAUUGGGCGUAAAGCGCGCGCAGGCGGUUCUUUAAGUCUGAUGUGAAACGCCCACGGCUCAACCGUGGAGGGUCAUUGGAAACUGGAGAACUUGAGUACAGAAGAGGAAAGCGGAAUUCCACGUGUAGCGGUGAAAUGCGUAGAGAUGUGGAGGAACACCAGUGGCGAAGGCGGCUUUCUGGUCUGUAACUGACGCUGAGGCGCGAAAGCGUGGGGAGCAAACAGGGAUUAGAUACCCUGGUAGUCCACGCCGUAAACGAUGAGUGCUAAGUGUUAGGGGGUUUCCCGCCCCUUAGUGCUGCAGCUAACGCAUUAAGCACUCCGCCUGGGGAGUACGGCCGCAAGGCUG
rnacentral:rRNA from 1 species